UGGACACUCGUACACAGGUGGUGCAUAGUUGUCGUCAGCUCGUGUCGUGAGAUGUUGGGUUAAGUCCCGCAACGAGCGCAACCCUCCUCCUAUGUUGCCAGCGGGUUAUGCCGGGGACUCAUGGGAGACUGCCGGGGUCAACUCGGAGGAAGGUGGGGAUGACGUCAAAUCAUCAUGCCCCUUAUGUCUUGGGCUUCACGCAUGCUACAAUGGCCGGUACAGAGGGCUGCGAUACCGUAAGGUGGAGCGAAUCCCAAAAAGCCGGUCUCAGUUCGGAUUGGGGUCUGCAACUCGACCCCAUGAAGUCGGAGUCGCUAGUAAUCGCAGAUCAGCAACGCUGCGGUGAAUACGUUCCCGGGCCUUGUACACACCGCCCGUCAAGUCACGAUUGGUAACACCCGAAGCUCAUGGCCCAACCCCUUGGGGGGGGGAGUGGUCGAAG
rnacentral:rRNA from 1 species